rnacentral:rRNA from 1 species
CCUACGGGUGACAGCAGUGAGGAAUAUUGGUCAAUGGGCGGGAGCCUGAACCAGCCACGUAGCGUGCAGGAUGACUGCCCUCCGGGUUGUAAACUGCUUCUAUACGGGAAUAAAGUGACUUACGUGUACGUCUUUGCAUGUACUGUAUGCAUACGGACCGGCUAAUUCCGUGCCAGCAGCCGCGGUAAUACGGAAGGUCCGGGCGUUAUCCGGAUUUCUUGGGUUUAAUGGGAGCGUAGGCGGCAUGUCAAGCCUGUUGUGAAAGGUCGCGGCUCAACCGGGGCCUUGCAUUGGCAACUGGCGGGCUUGAGUGCAGGGGAGGUAGGCGGAAUUCGUCGGGUAGCGGUGAAAUGCGUAGAUAGGACGAAGAACCCCGAUUGCGAAGGCAGCUUACUGAAGGGUAACUGACGCUGAGGCUCGAAAGCGCGGGUAUCAAACAGGAUUAGAUACCCUAGUAGUC